CAGCAGUGGGGAAUAUUGCACAAUGGGCGCAAGCCUGAGUGCAGCCAUGCCGCGUGUAUGAAGAAGGCCUUCGGGUUGUAAAGUACUUUCAGCAGUUGAGGAAGGUGGGUAUGUUAAUAGCAUACUCAUUUGACGUUUAGCUGCAGAAGAAGCACCGGCUAACUCCGUGCCAGCAGCCGCGGUAAUACGGAGGGUGCGAGCGUUAAUCGGAAUUACUGGGCGUAAAGCGCAUGCAGGUGGUUUGUUAAGUCAGAUGUGAAAGCCCGGGGCUCAACCUCGGAAUUGCAUUUUGAAACUGGCAAACUAGAGUACUGUAGAGGGGGUAGGAAUUUCAGGUGUAGCGGUGAAAUGCGUAGAGAUCUGAAGGAAUACCGGUGGCGAAGGCGGCCCCCUGGACCAGAUACUGACACUCAGAUGCGAAAGCGUGGGGAGCAAACAGGAUUAUAUACCCUGGUAG
rnacentral:rRNA from 1 species